AAGACAGGCGUGAGCUCCUGCAAUGGGGCCCAGAAUGGCGGGGGAGCGUUUCCCGUGGGACAAGACAGGCGUGAGCUCCUGCAAAGGGGCCCAGAAUCGUGGGGAAGCGUUUCCUGUGGGACAAGACAGGCGUGAGCUCCUGCAAAGGGGCCCAGAAUGGUGGGGAAGCAGAACUUCUGCCUCCAACUCACUUUCUCACCGUGCAACUGCGGAUCCAGAGGAAUCUCUGCAUGUGAGGCUCUGCCAGGUUGGGGAGGAGUGUGCGCUCAACAUCUCUCUCCACUUUUUACCAUUGCAACAGCUUUUCUUAGCUCUGGGGUCCAGGAGUGUGUCUCAGCCUUAGUCCUGAAUUCUGGGACAUGCACGAUGGUAUUCUUGCCUGUGGAGAGCUGCUAGUUGAAUUUCUGUGGUGGUGAGUGAUGUCAGUGAAGUCCCAUUCUGGUUUCUCUCUGAUGUCACACUGAGAGCACAGUUUUGGUGAGAAGAUUAUCUUUGUGUAAAAGCAAAGAAGAGAGGAAAGAACCUGCGUUUCUCCUCUGCACUAUCCGCUGCGUUUUUCUGUAGAAUUGGGUGUGCCAUUUGCAAGAGCUGUGUGUGUGCAGCAGAGCAGGCAGCCAACCAAUCCUUGCGGUUCAGUGUGAGUUGGGAGGGAGAAAGCGCAAACCACUAAGUGUAGACAACACGCAGGGAGUUCAUUUGGGAAGUUUAGCGAGUGGUGUCCAAAGCAGAGUUGCUCCCUCAGCACUAUGGGCAGUUUGGGCCACACAAUUCUUUGUUGUUGGGGAGAGAAGGCUGUCCUGUGCCUUGUAGGAGGUUUGGCAGCAUCCCUGGCCUGGACACCCCAUGACAGUGGCAACCCCUCCCCUAGCGGUGACAAACAUAAAGGUCUCUAGAUGUUGCUAAAUGUCCUCUGGUGGGGGUGGGAAGGGCAUUGCCCUGUGUGAGGACCGCUGGUAGAGACUGUUGCAGGGUUCAGAAAAGAGAUUUUUGUUUUUCAGUUGGGACAUACAUGAUCAGUCUUGGGGAAGGAAGCAGAAGCAAUGGUGGAAUAGGACAAAGAUAAAGGAAAGAGGUGGAAAGUGAUGAACACAGACCGCGAUGACCCGGUGUGGGGUGAUAUGGGCGAGGACAGCAUCCAGCGAAGAGGUCCUGGCUCCUGACUGCAAUUUGGUGGCUCUACUGUACCCUGUGCAACGGGUAUAGGUCUGCCUGGAUGAUCAAAACAGAUGGGAAGGAGCCAUGGUGGGGCAAUGAUCCUGUUCUGUUGCCUCCUGGAGAUUCAAGCAUUAUAUAUGGAGAGCUAUCAUCUCUACCCCUCCUCCCGGUUUACUCUCAUGGUGAGCUCAGGUUAUUGGGGAACAAGUGGUACUCAAGAUGGAUGAAGGACUUAAAUCCAAGACAAGAAACUAUAAAAAUUCUAAAAGACAACAUUGGAAAAACUCUUCUAGACAUUGGCUUAGGCAAGGAUUUCACGAACAAGAACCCAUAAGCAAACGCAAUAAGAACAAAAAUAAAUAGCUGGGACCUAAUCAAACUAAAGAGCUUUUGCACAGCAAAAGGAACAGUCAGCAGAGUAAACAGACAACACACAGAGUGGGAGAAAAUCUUCACAAUCUAUACAUCUGACAAAGGACUGAUAUCCAGAAUCUACAAUGGACUCAAACAAAUUAGCAAGAAACAAAUAAUCCCAUCAAAAAGUGGGCUAAGGACAUGAAUAGACUUUUAGGUUACUUUUAGGUAUUUGUGUGUGCAGACCUCUUGGUGUCAAGGCUAAACUGUUCCUUUCUCUGACACAUGGGAAAUUGAUGCACAAUACCUUGCAGUGUAUAAUUCCAGGCCCCUAGGCACUGGAGACUGGGUUAUCUUUUCACUCAACUGACAGUUGAUACAUUGUUUGCACUGAAAAAUCUGGCUUUGUUGAACCACACCAGUUUAUGUUUUUAAUUCCAAAUCUUACCUUGUUAUGAACUAUUUUUUUGUCCUUUCCUCUAGAGAAAUGCUAAUGCUGCUUGCUUACAUGGAAAGUAAAGUUAAGGAGUUGGUGUUGACAUUUUGGCUUGCUGUCACAGGCAAAAAAGAAUAGUGCUGUUUUUGUGUGUUUAAUUUUCUUUCACUUUCCCCACUCUGUGUAUUGGAGGAUGCCUUUAGCAAUAAGUAGUCCUUAUCCAGGUCACUCACUCAUUAACCGCCAACCACUGACAGUAAUGUCUUUACUAGAUAUUUUGCUUCUUUUGAUUAAUUUGUCUCUAUUUCCUUUGUUCUAAAGCCUAUAGUGAGUAAUCAUAUUUGGAGUAAUAGCAGAGCUCCCUGCUGUGUUUUCAUUUGCUUAAAUCAAGACUUAGCUGCUGUAUUGAGGAACCAAGACUGAGAUGUGGGGCUAGGAGGGCCUAGGGUCUGUCAGGCACUCUUCAGUGACUUGAGGUGCUGAAUGACUCACACUGUACUGGGAGAUGACCACCUGUGUGCAUCCAACACAGUCACAGAUAGUGCCAUUGAGCCACCAGGAGCAGCCACAGACCAUCAGUGGUUGUGCUUUGGAAUACGCAAUUUUGUGUUUCUGGUGAGCUGUAAUCUUUUCUUUUCCCAUAGAAUUAUUUUUCAUUGAAUUAUGCUAUUAAAACUCAUCUUUGGGUUUCUUGUAACGUCAUUGCCGAGAACGUUAUUUUUGCAUUUCACAGUGAUUUCUUGAGGAGGAAGUAAGAAGUAAUUGUUUUCUGGACUCACUGUCUGAAAAACUUGCACUUUACUGAAGCGAUUGUUUUGUUUACACUAAGUAACAAUAUGAGUUUUGUUAGCUUUUUGGAUGGACUACAAAGCAUAAAACCAACUUUGUUCCUCAUCUCUGGCAAAGAUGGAGGGUUGUUGGCUUGUGUUGUGUGAUGAGUCUUAUACCUGGCUCUGUCUGCUCUUGCCUUUUGCCUUACAUUUCAAAGACCUCACUUUUUUCUUUUCUUUUUUUAAAAAAUAUUUUAUCACAUGAUUUUCUAUACAUUUUAAUAAAAUUUCUUUUUUGUAAAAAAAGCAAAGCAUAAAUAAAAUAGGGUAGCCAUUUCUUCUAAGGUUAUGUUGAAUCUAACCCAAACUCUUAUCAGAGAAAACUCUGCUUUAGAUGUAGCCUAAAGCAGGAAGCAACAAACCUGUAUACAGCCAAAGUAUCAUCUCAAGGGCCUGCAUUCAAAUCUCACACAUGUGGCUUGAAAGUGAUCUCUUUUGCCCUUAUUUCAAGGCCUAAUCUUAGGUUACAUAGUACUUAAAGAAGCUUCAGUAUGCAAUUUCAAAGCCUGUAGUAGAUGUAAAAUGAGAAAAUUAGAAAUAAGGAGAAAAGCUGCUACAUGAGGACACUGACAGCAAGGAAAGGGAGAGAAAAACUCACAAAGUAAGUGGAAAAAUAGACCAAUGCAAAUAACCCCACAUAGUUUAACAGACCUCAUCAUAUCUAUUGUGUACAUGUUUGUAUGACAUAGAUUAUAUCUAUUAUAUGUAAUCCAGUGUUCAUAGUGUUGACUUAGAAAUUAUCAACCAAAUUCAAAGCUUUUAGGCUUUGAAAAUUGUUUGAAAAGAUUUUCACCCAAAAUAUUUAAAUUAUUAAAAAAAAUUAUUGUUGAUUAAAGUUGUAAUCCUCAAUUAAUUAGAAGUUUUGGCUAUCCAGAGACCUUAUAUUCCAAAGACUUUAGAGAGUUGUUUGUUAGAUCACAUAAAUUAUUACCAAUAUCCUACAUUUAAGCUUCUAAUUUACGUAAAUUGUGAGCAAAAUUGAGAGCCACACAAAUAUUCAAUCUCUGAAGCUCUUAUGGCAGCAUUGAUCAAAUAGGUUAGAGAACACAUGGAUACAGCUUUAUUGCCUUCUAGUUUUACUGCAAACGUGUUAUUUAAUAGUAUGCAAAUGAUUGGCUAGAUGUACAGACUGCCAGGGCCUUCAUAGCAAACAGGUUUUGUGUUUACCCUAGCAUACAAAAAUGCUUCAUCUACGAUGUAUGCUGUAACUGUGUGUAUUGUCUACCCUAGCAUGCAAAAAUGCUUCAUCUAAAAUGUAUGCUAUAACUAUGUGUAUUAUAUUAUCUAUAAUUAUAUUUCUCCUUGGUUUAAUAUUAGAUAUUUUCAGGUACAAGAAAUGUAUGCACAUUAUAGAUUCAAUGCAUGUAGGUUAUAUGUGUAAAUAUUUAUUGAUAAGAGGCAUUAAACCCCUGCCUUCUAUGCUGGAUAAACUCCUGAACUUAGCCUCCAAAACACCACAGUAGCCUCCCUGGUAAGCACAGGGCUCUUUCUCUACCCUUUUGUGUCUCCCACGCUCCCACUUGUCUACAAGAGCUGAGUGUAGACCAAGAGCAAUAAAGUUCAUUUCCCCAAAAUAAGGCGUAGCAUUCAGGUUUUGUGAUACCUGAUUGGUUUACAUUGUUUACAGGUGGGGCCUCGAAGGGGUAAAAAUCAGAAGCUUCUUAUUCUGAGCGCAAGGGCAAGAUCAUUGAGCAGACAUUGACCUCCCUUCAGACAUUUCUUGGGAGGAACAGAAUGAGAAUUUCAGGGGCCAGUGCCUGCACCCUACUAGCUGUGGCAGCCUGGUGCUCAUCUACUUCUCCAGCUUGGGAAGGCCUAGGUUAACCCCAGUCUUUGGAGGCAUUGUUAUUCCUCUUCUCUCCCUGCUUCCCCGUGUUUGUGUUCUGGGCCCGGUGUAACACUGAGGUUCAGAAUUGCUUUCAAGAGAGGAGCCCAUUUCUGUGUCUAUGCAAGGCUGGACAAUUUCUCCAAGUGGUUCAGCCUGUGGGGGUUAACGGGGCAAAAGCAUCUCAGCUAGUAAUAAACACUGCUUCGCCUCUUGCUUUUUUAUUUUUAUUUUUGCAAAACUUCUCUGUAGGUGUGUAUUUCUCUAGAGGAUUUCAAAAAUUCUCUGUAGGUGCGUAUUUCUGUAGAGGAAGGAGUGGUGACUGGGCCAGGGUGAAUGGAUUAUUUGAUCUAUAUUAUCUUGAAUUUUAUAUCUUUUAUUUUAAAAUUUGGGUGUUUUUUGAAGUAGGAAAUCAAUGCACAUGGCUGAAUAUCUAAAAAGUGUAAAAGUAUACAUUGAAAAGUCUUCCUCCUAAUCUCGUGAUUGUCUUCGUUUCAGUCCCCAUGGCCACAUCAUGAGGCUACUGAUGUCAUUAGUUUCUUUUGCGUUCUUCUAGGGUUUCUGUUGGCAUAUGCAAGCAACAAUAAAUGUAUACCUUUAUGUUUUCUCUUUUUACAGCAAGGACAGUUUAUUAAACACACUGUUUUAAACCUUAUUUUUUCUCUAAAUAAUAUUUCAUAUAAGUCAGUAUGUAGACUUUAUGUAUUUUUAAAAUGAAGACAUAGCGUUCCACUGAACUUAGACAAUAAUUUACUUAACUAGUCCAAGAUUGAAGAAUAAAAUUAUUUUGAAUCUUUUGUUAAUAGUUAAUAGCUUUGAUGAGUACACUUAUGCAUACAUUAUUUUACACAUGUUCAAGUAUGUUGUAUAAACCCCAAAGUGGGAAUGCUCUGUCAAAUAUUACAGGUAUUUGCAACUUUGAUAGAUACUAAUUGCCCUCGAUAGAGGUAGUAAAAGCUUACACUCCACAGCCUUACUGAUGAUAUAUAUUAUAAAACUUUUAGUUCUUGCCAAUCUAAACGUGAAAAAUGGUAUUUCAUGGUAAUUUAAAUGCUUUUCUCGUUUUAUAACUGAGGUUGACAUCUAUCAAAAAAUUAUUUGAAUUUUUCUGAGAACUAUUAAUCUUUGAAUCCUUUUCUGUUGUUUAUCUUUUCCUUCUUCAUUUCUAAAAGUUCCUAUACAGAGAGAUUCACCCGUUAUCUGUGAUAUGAUUACAAAUGUCUGCCCUCCAAUUUGUUAUAUGUCUUUAGAUCCAAAUACCUUAUUUUUUGCCAUGUAGAAAUUUUUAAUUUGUAUGUGAUAAAAUGUUAAUACUUUAUGGAUUCUGGAUUUUCAGAAAUAAAAAGGUCAUCCUCACUUCCAGGUUUUAAAGAAAUUCUUUAAUGUUAUUUUAUGUUUUUGUAUGG
rnacentral:lncRNA from 1 species